AUCCAGCUGACGAGUCCCAAAUAGGACGAAACGCACAUCUUGGAC
rfam:Schistosoma mansoni, Puerto Rico, WGS project CABG01000000 data, contig: 0237